AUUGAACGCUGGCGGCAUGCCUUACACAUGCAAGUCGAACGGUAACAGGUCUUCGGAUGCUGACGAGUGGCGAACGGGUGAGUAAUACAUCGGAACGUGCCCGAUCGUGGGGGAUAACGAAGCGAAAGCUUUGCUAAUACCGCAUACGAUCUACGGAUGAAGGCGGGGGAUCUUCGGACCUCGCGCGGACGGAGCGGCCGAUGGCAGAUUAGGUAGUUGGUGGGAUAAAAGCCUACCAAGCCGACGAUCUGUAGCUGGUCUGAGAGGAUGAUCAGCCACACUGGGACUGAGACACGGCCCAGACUCCUACGGGAGGCAGCAGUGGGGAAUUUUGGACAAUGGGGGAAACCCUGAUCCAGCCAUGCCGCGUGCAGGAUGAAGGCCUUCGGUUGUAAACUAGCUUUUGUUACGGAACGAAAGUACGUCUUCCUAAUACGAAGGGGUGGAUGACGGUACCGUAAGAAUAAGCACCGGCUAACUACGUGCCAGCAGCCGCGGUAACACGAG
rnacentral:rRNA from 1 species